rnacentral:lncRNA from 1 species
GCAGACUCCCGAAUGGCACCUAUAUCACGUAGUCAACAAGUAGACGUAAGUUUUCCGAGCCUUUCAAAGUUGUCUAGAUUUAGACUUCUGAGACUGUAGUUGAAUAGCAUAAAUUAAGAAACACAUAUAUCAGAUUCAUCAUACCGAGUGUGAGCAGAAUCGUAUGACAAGUAGACGUAAGUCAGUGUUCCGAGCCGUUCAAUCAAGGAAGAAAGAGCAACAAAUUGUAUCUGUUUUUUUACAGGAUUAAAACAGAGGUUAAGCAAAUAAUCCUUAUAAGACUUAAACUACAAAGCUAAUAAAACCAGAGAGAAAAAUAAUAGAUAAGAAGAUAGAAGGAGUCAACUUACUUAAGGGAGUUAAACAGAAGAUUUAGAGAGAGAUUAAGACAGGAAAUCUAACGUCUCUGUUGUGCUGCUGUGAUAUGCUCUGUUUCAUAAAAAAGGGUUCGUUAAGUUUUCUGGUUUGAGACAAAAAGUGGAGACGGAGAUAAGAAGUUUUUUUGCUUAAAGAUUUGGAAGAAGGUACGUGUCUAGUUUAUUUGUUUUCUUAUUCUUUUUUUUUUUUGCUGACGAUCUUGGACGUAUCUUAACUUGAGUUAAAAGAAAAAAAAAGAAGAGAUAAAGAUGUUAUGUAUAUAGUAUAUUUAAUUUAUAAUUAUCUUCCAAAAAAUAUGUAAAUAAUUUUUUUUUGUCUAAUUUUUUUUUUGAAUAGGAAUAAGUAAAUUAUAC